rnacentral:rRNA from 1 species
UGGGGGAUAUUGCACAAUGGAGGAAACUCUGAUGCAGCGACGCCGCGUGAGGGAAGAAGGUCUUCGGAUUGUAAACCUCUGUCUUCAGGGACGAAGAAAGUGACGGUACCUGAAGAGGAAGCCACGGCUAACUACGUGCCAGCAGCCGCGGUAAUACGUAGGUGGCGAGCGUUGUCCGGAAUUACUGGGGGUAAAGGGUGCGCAGGCGGGACGACAAGUUGGAUGUGAAAUCUCCCGGCUCAACUGGGAGGAGGCAUUCAAAACUGUUGUUCUUGAGUGAGGUAGGGGCUGGCGAAAUUCCCGGGGUAGCGGUGAAAUGCGUAGAUAUCGGGAGGAACACCAGUGGCGAAGGCGGCCAGCUGGGCCUUUACUGACGCUGAGGCACGAAAGCAUGGGUAGCAAACA